rnacentral:rRNA from 1 species
UGGUGGGUUGCCUUGUCAGGUUGAUUCCGGUAACGAACGAGACCUCAGCCUGCUAAAUAGUCACGGUCGCUUUUUGCGGCUGGCUGACUUCUUAGAGGGACUAUUGGCGUUUAGUCAAUGGAAGUAUGAGGCAAUAACA